rnacentral:rRNA from 1 species
UACAUGUGGGGCAAGCGUUGCUCGGAAUUACUGGGCGUAAAGGGCGCGUAGGCGGACAGUUUAGUCAGAGGUGAAAGCCCAGGGCUCAACCUUGGAAUUGCCUUUGAUACUGGCUGUCUUGAGUUCGGGAGAGGUGAGUGGAAUGCCGAGUGUAGAGGUGAAAUUCGUAGAUAUUCGGCGGAACACCAGUGGCGAAGGCGACUCACUGGCCCGAUACUGACGCUGAGGCGCGAAAGCGUGGGGGAGCAAACAGG